ACAACUGCAGCGAGAGAAGAGGCUGGCAGCAUGGGUGGCAGGAGGCUUGGCAGCCUCACAGGAUGCCUGCAAAUACCUUUCACUUAUGCAGUUUGGCAGUGCAGUGGUGCAUGGAGACAGCGUCUUGGGCCUGAGAUGAACCAUCCAAUCUCCUGCCUCGAGUAUUGAAGCCUGGCUACUGUGACUGUGGGGAAGGGAUUAAUGGUCUCAGCAUUCAGUGCUUUCCAGUGCCCCAAAGACAGAGAUGUUAAAUGCUGCAUUGCCCACAUUCCCUUGGAGCUGGUGUUCUUCAUGUCUGCCAAGGGGAUAUAUUAACACUGGAUAUUGGGAAGGCAGAAGCAAGCACCAUAUAGCAUGGCCCAGCAGCUCUUUCGAAAGGCAAGGUGGUGGAUGCAUUUGGUUCUUCUGAGGCACAUGUGGAGAAGUAGUGUCCACUCCUAGCUUUAUGGGUGUCAAGUAGAGGGCACCUGUAAAAAUAGCAACUAGGGAUUUCGUGGAACACUCCUAUACAGUGAUUGGAACUUCUCAUGGCUGUAUGGCUGCUGGCUAUGUAUCAUCUAAGCUCAUCCCAAACUUCUUAANACCUCUGGUCUGUAAAGGUCACAUUUCAAAGGCCAGAUCUUUCCCAGGGCUUAAGCUGUUCCUUGGAUACUUUUGCUGAUGGUUUACACAUCUUCUUCCCACAUUAUAUUGUAACUUUCUU
rnacentral:antisense_RNA from 1 species